UGCAAGUCGAGCGGAGUUAUUCCUUCGGGGAUAACUUAGCGGCGGACGGGUGAGUAACACGUAGGCAACCUGCCUGUAAGACUGGGAUAACUACCGGAAACGGUAGCUAAGACCGGAUACACGAUUUGAUCGCAUGAUCGAAUUGGGAAAAGCGGAGCAAUCUGCUACUUACAGAUGGGCCUGCGGCGCAUUAGCUAGUUGGUGGGGUAACGGCUCACCAAGGCGACGAUGCGUAGCCGACCUGAGAGGGUGAACGGCCACACUGGGACUGAGACACGGCCCAGACUCCUACGGGAGGCAGCAGUAGGGAAUCUUCCGCAAUGGACGCAAGUCUGACGGAGCAACGCCGCGUGAGUGAUGAAGGUUUUCGGAUCGUAAAGCUCUGUUGCCAGGGAAGAACGCUAUGGAGAGUAACUGCUCUGUAGGUGACGGUACCUGAGAAGAAAGCCCCGGCUAACUACGUGCCAGCAGCCGCGGUAAUACGUAGGGGGCAAGCGUUGUCCGGAAUUAUUGGGCGUAAAGCGCGCGCAGGCGGCUUUGUAAGUCUGGUGUUUAAACCUAGGGCUCAACCCUGGGUCGCAUUGGAAACUGCAAGGCUUGAGUGCAGAAGAGGAGAGUGGAAUUCCACGUGUAGCGGUGAAAUGCGUAGAGAUGUGGAGGAACACCAGUGGCGAAGGCGACUCUCUGGGCUGUAACUGACGCUGAGGCGCGAAAGCGUGGGG
rnacentral:rRNA from 1 species